UUGAGUAUGAGGUGACUUGACCCGAGCUGUGUUUAAUUGCCUGCUUUACAGGAAAUCACCUCCUAACUGCUGCUGCUUUCUCUUCAGCCAACACCCAAAGCCACCGCCAGGGUCAUGGGGAUGAGACUUCACAAGGGAAUGGACUGUGCUGUUCCAGCGAGCUACUGUAGUAUAAUCGCUGUAGAUACUUCAUGCUUCACUUUGGAAGACUCAGGAAGCUGAAAACUCCACCCACACAGUAAUCAUUAUGGAGCUGACUGGAGACUGUAUGCUCUUCUGCAUGCUGAAGACCUAGAACCCUGGCAGCUGUUUAGUACCAGAAGCUGGAGGCCUCGGAACAAAGGGAACCAAUGAUGAGGCCCCAGUGGAAAGCUGAAGGCCUGAAAAAACCCCUGGAUGAUUCUGCACUGAGAAGCCAAAGACACUGGAAACUGAUGCCCAUGGCUGUUUUGAAAAUCGGACAGCCAAUAGCAGGUCAGAGCAGAUUGUGAUCCUGGAAGAAUAAGGGGAAGGACAGCUCCUGUAAAAUGUUGCUGUGGGACUAGAAAGGAAAACACCAUGGCUGCUCCUCCUUAGACUUUAGAUUAAAAGCAUGCAAUACUUCUGGCCCUGGGUGGGGACACGACACGCUGAUGUACACUAAAGAUUGGAAUAUUACAAACAAUUGUCUCUUCCUUUAAGAAUUAAUGCAACUGGGCUUUUCAGUUUCCUGGCUGGGAGUCUAUCCUUCUUCCUCUGAAUUUUAACUUAGAAAAGCAGGCUAUUCUCUUUCUCUCCUCUCUGUCUUCAUCCCCUUUCCCUCUCCUUCUUUCUCUAUUCUUUUCCUUCCCUCCCUCCCUUUAUUUAUUUCCUUUUUUUCAGAUACUGUCCUAAAACCAUACAACUGUCACCUGACCUCCAUUGCUGAACAUGGCAGCUAUCCUGGACCCUGGCCUUCUCCCUUCUCUUUUCUAUCUCCUUAGUCACAGGAGCUGCUAAGGUUUACAUCUCCCAAACUCCACCUAAGUUGCCCUAGAGCUUUUUUUCUGUGUUUGUUUCUGAAUUCUUUUACUAACAAGACUGAGAACUCAGAAAAGAAAACCCUGGUUUCCCAGGUAAUGGCUUCAGGUUUAAGUAUUAAUAAAUGCCAUUAGUUCUUUUGACAGUCCUCACACAUUGAACUUGGCCUGUCUUCUCAAAUACUGGUCCUCCCAAAAGACUACAUGAGAGUUUUAUUGAUCAAUGUGAAGUUCAUAAUACUGUUAAUGAGACAGCUCACAGUAAACUGAGGUCAAACUUAUUUGACUAACAAACAUUAAAAGACAUCUUUUGAUUUAGAAACUUCUAAGGACUAUAGGAAAAAUGGAAUACAUUGUUCUUUUCUUCAAUAUUUUUACAAUUAAUUUAGGGGAUUUGGAUUGAGUACUUCACUGUAAUACAAAGACACUACACUAUAUUUUACCAGGAAGGAAUAAAUGACAGUCUAGGGAUGUUACAAGGUGACUAAUGGUGGUUUUUCUGUUUAGGAAGAGUCUACAUUGGGUAUGUAAUUCUAAUACUCAGGAGACAGAGGCAGAAGUGUUGCAGGUUCAAGGCCAGCAUGGUCUACAUUACAAGAUUGAGGCCAGACACAACUAUGAAGUGAGACUUUCUCUCAAAAAAUAAAAAUAAAAAAUGAAAACUCAAACCAAAACAAAAAUCCAAACAAAAGAAUGUACCAUUAAUGAUGGGGUCUUAAAGGACUCCUAGACAUGUCAGUUUGAGUAAUGUCGUUUUCUGACCUGAACAUACAGACAUUAAUAAGGAUAGCAGGUCUAAAAUAAGGUUGCUUAUUAAAAUGGCUCUCUGGCAUCAAAUGAUGUUUCCUUCACCUUUUACCUUUUUUCCUUUGCAGUGCUAAGGAUUGAACCCAGAGCUUUGUGCAUGCUAGGCCAACACCCUAAACUGAGUUCAUUUUAAUAGCAGAUAUAGGUUAAAAACUAUUGUAUGUAUAAACUUCCAGUUCAGCAUAUUCAAUAUGGUUCAUAUUUUGGAACAAUUUAUAUAUAUUCCUGUAUAGCUAGAGAACUUUAGAGAUUUUGUUUUCAUACUAAAAUUUAGAAAGACACUAAAUUUUAAGACUUUUAAUAAAGUAUAUACAAUUCAUUGGUGUUUCUGUAAGCUUUGGAAGAUUUAAGAGAAGAAGCUGUAAUUUUUUUUAUAUUUUAUUUUUUUUAUUUUACAAUACUAUUCAGUUCUACAUAAU